AUUCUGCACAGUGGGUGGCCGGUAAUGCAACACUAAAGAUAAUUUGACUGACAUUUGCGCCAACAGACGCACAAAGACUGAGCCUUGUUCUGUGGAUAAACUUCACCUAUGGUCGUAGCAGGUCUGGGGAGCACAGCGAGAUACAAGUACUUUCAAUGGCAAAGACUUGAAGUGCUGUCGAGCCCCAGCUGCUGCAGGAUCGCCCUGACCUGCAGCAGCGCCAGACGAUCGCUGUGGAGAAGGAAGGGUGGGGGCGAGAGAGCGUGUCAGAGGUCAGCCAACAGCAGGAGAGUCACCGGAUACCUCACAGCUGUUCCCAGAGGCUAAGUGGAAUCUGGUGUGUCGCAGUCGCGUUGUCAGCUGCUAAUCAUCUCCAGUCUACUCUGCUUUAUAUACUGGACUUCAUAGUUAGUCUUGUGCCAGCCUUGUUUAUUCUGCUUUGUGUGUUUUUGAAGUUUGGCUAAUAUCUGGAUGCUGUGCCCCGUCUGGACCUGAUUCCUGCUUCUGUCCCGCUCCUGUU